rnacentral:rRNA from 1 species
UGGGGAAUAUUGGACAAUGGGGGCAACCCUGAUCCAGCAAUGCCGCGUGUGUGAAGAAGGCCUGCGGGUUGUAAAGCACUUUCAGUAGAGAUGAAAAGCUUACGGUUAAUACCCGUGAGUCUUGACGUAACCUACAGAAGAAGCACCGGCUAACUCCGUGCCAGCAGCCGCGGUAAUACGGAGGGUGCGAGCGUUAAUCGGAAUUACUGGGCGUAAAGCGCGCGUAGGCGGCUUUGUAAGUCGGAUGUGAAAGCCCAGGGCUUAACCUUGGAAUUGCAUUCGAUACUGCAGAGCUAGAGUAUGGUAGAGGGAAGUGGAAUUUCCGGUGUAGCGGUGAAAUGCGUAGAUAUUGGGAAGAACACCGGUGGCGAAGGCGGCUCUCUGGUCCGGUACUGACGCUGAGGUGCGAAGGCGUGGGGAGCAAACAGGAUUAGAUACCCCCGUAGUCC